rnacentral:rRNA from 1 species
GACGAACGCUGGCGGCGUGCUUAACACAUGCAAGUCGAACGGAAAGGCCCUGCUUUUGUGGGGUGCUCGAGUGGCGAACGGGUGAGUAACACGUGAGUAACCUGCCCUUGACUUUGGGAUAACUUCAGGAAACUGGGGCUAAUACCGGAUAGGAGCUCCUGCUGCAUGGUGGGGGUUGGAAAGUUUCGGCGGUUGGGGAUGGACUCGCGGCUUAUCAGCUUGUUGGUGGGGUAGUGGCUUACCAAGGCUUUGACGGGUAGCCGGCCUGAGAGGGUGACCGGCCACAUUGGGACUGAGAUGCGGCCCAGACUCCUACGGGAGGCAGCAGUGGGGAAUAUUGCACACUGGGCGGAAGCGUGAUGCAGCAACGCCGCGUGCGGGAUGACGGCCUUCGGGUUGUAAACCGCUUUCGCCUGUGUCGAAGCGUGAGUGACGGUAAUGGGUAAAGAAGCACCGGCUAACUACGG